rnacentral:rRNA from 1 species
CUACGGGGGGCUGCAGUGGGGAAUAUUGCACAAUGAGCGAAAGCUUGAUGCAGCCAUACCGCGUGUGUGAAGAAGGCCCGAGGGUUGUAAAGCACUUUCAAUUGUGAGGAAGGUUCAGUAGUUAAUACCUGCUGUUCUUGACGUUAACUUUAGAAGAAGCACCGGCUAACUCUGUGCCAGCAGCCGCGGUAAUACAGAGGGUGCAAGCGUUAUUCGGAAUUACUGGGCGUAAAGCGCGCGUAGGCGGAUUGUUAAGUCAGUUGUGAAAGCCCUGGGCUCAACCUGGGAACUGCAUCUGAUACUGGCAAUCUAGAGUUUAAGAGAGGGAAGUGGAAUUCCAGGUGUAGCAGUGAAAUGCGUAGAUAUCUGGAGGAACAUCAGUGGCGAAGGCGACUUCCUGGCUUAAAACUGACGCUGAGGUGCGAAAGCGUGGGUAGCGAACGGGAUUAGAUACCCCCGUAGUC